AGCACUUGCAUGUGUUUUUAUUCAACUGGUGGACAAAGGCAAGAGAGACAAGUGUGAAAACAAAUCCUUUUUUGCAGUCUAGAACCCAUUGUUCAGUAUGAGUUUUGAUACAUAUAAGAAGGAACAUG
ensembl:snoRNA